rnacentral:rRNA from 1 species
UACGUAGGGGGCUAGCGUUGUCCGGAUUUAUUGGGCGUAAAGAGCGUGUAGGCGGCCAGGUAGGUCUGCUGUGAAAACUCGAGGCUCAACCUCGAGCUGUCGGCGGAAACCAUCUGGCUAGAGUCCGGAAGAGGAGAGUGGAAUUCCUGGUGUAGCGGUGAAAUGCGCAGAUAUCAGGAAGAACACCCGUGGCGAAGGCGGCUCUCUGGGACGGUACUGACGCUGAGACGCGAAAGCGUGGGGAGCGAACAGG